CCAAAAAGAAGACAGGAUGCCACCACGAAUCGAUUUCGCCGCUCUGGUCUUCACCUCGGAGUCCAUGGAUGCCAUUCUUUUCCAUGAUAAGUUGUGUACUCUUCCCUGCUGAUCUCGAUCCAUGGCACCCACUGCUCCUUACAUACCUCAAUUGAUCUUCUUCGUGUGCCACAGAUCGUCCCCAAGGAAAAUUGUUGCUGCCACGUUGACCCGUUGUCCUCGCAGCAAUGUCGUCGCCACUGGCUGCUGCUGGGUUCUCACCAACAGCAAGAUCAUCUCUAAGGUCGAAUUAUCGAUGUCGUCUCUAUGAACGUGCUGGUGGCGUCGAUCCUAGCAGCCAUGUUGAUGCUACCAUUGAUCCUUGCCCAACAGUAAGGUCGUCCCUCUAAUUUUCCGCUCUGAUCUUGUUGUUUGUGCCUCUCUCAUAUGUCUCUUUGAUCUCUAAUGAGGCAUGGAUGAUCCCCAAAGUAGAUUUGGCAUUGCUCUGUUGAUCACUGACUACAUCUCUUUGAUGCCGGCUGCUGCCAACCACAUCAUCAGUUGUUGGAAUUCCAUGAUGCUUGUCUGUGAUGCUUGUGAUGGUUGUUGCUAUCAUUAGAAGAGGAGCUCUACAAGGAUGAUGAAGAAGUGGGAUAAGUUUGAGUAACAGUUGAAGGCAAGUGUAACAUGAGUACCCUUGUUACCUAAU